UUCGUAGGCGGUGUGGCAAGUCGGGAGUGAAAUCUCUGGGCUUAACCCAGAGGCUGCUUCCGAAACUGCCGUGCUAGAGUGCGGGAGAGGCGAGUGGAAUUGCAGGUGUAGCGGUGAAAUGCGUAGAUAUCUGCAGGAACACCCGUGGCGAAGGCGGCUCGCUGGACCGCAACUGACGCUGAGGAACGAAAGCUAGGGGAGCAAACAGGAUUAGAUACCCUGGUAGUCCUAGCCCUAAACCAUCAGGACUUGGGUGCAUCCCGUUCGGGGUGCGUCCCGUAGCUAACGCGUUAAGUCCUGCGCCUGGGGAGUACGGUCGCAAGGCUGAA
rnacentral:rRNA from 1 species